GUGGGUAUAGCUCAGUGGUAGAGUGCAUGCUUAGCAUGCACAAAGUCCUGGGUUCAAGCCCCAAUACCUCCA
rnacentral:tRNA from 1 species